rnacentral:rRNA from 1 species
AGGACGAACGCUGGCGGCGUGCUUAACACAUGCAAGUCGAGCGGAAAGGCCCUUCGGGGUACUCGAGCGGCGAACGGGUGAGUAACACGUGAGCAACCUGCCCUUAGCUCUGGGAUAGCUCCGGGAAACCGGAAUUAAUACCGGAUAUUACACCGGCUGGCAUCGGCUGGUGUGGAAAGAUUUAUCGGCUAAGGAUGGACUCGCGGCCUAUCAGCUUGUUGGUGGGGUAGAAGCCUACCAAGGCACGACGGGU